rnacentral:ncRNA from 1 species
CAUUAGAGCAUUAAGAAGACAUUUCCCUAGUACAAGAAUAUUGGGAAGGACUCACCUUCGGUGUGCCAGUUAUCGUGCCCAGCCACGGUAAACGUUGGGUUGCCAAGUGUGGAGUAGAUAAUUGCUGAAAGCAUCUAAGUAGUAACCCUAAGGUGAGUGCUUUCAUAUUUCAACUUCCCCAAAGCCUCCGGUAGCACAACUGAGAUAGUGAUGGGUUCUCUGGCCCAACAGGGAUGAAGUGAAAUUUUUUAAAGAAUUCAAGAGAAGGUCACAGUGAGAUGAGUUGUUGCUAAUUAAUGAUAGGUGUCAAAUAGAAAUGCAAUGAUGUAUGUAUCUGAGGCAUCCUAACAAACCGU